rnacentral:rRNA from 1 species
AGCAGCCGCGGUAAUUCCAGCUCCAAUAGCGUAUAUUAAAGUUGUUGCAGUUAAAAAGCUCGUAGUUGAACUUCGGGGUUUACCCAUUGGUCAGGCUUAAUUGUCUGUACUGGUGAGAUAAAUCUCUACCUUCUGAGGAACUUUCAUGCCAUUUAUUUAGUGUGAUGGGAAAUCAGGACUGUUACUUUGAAAAAAUUAGAGUGUUUAAAGCAGGCUAACGUCUGAAUACAUUAGCAUGGAAUAAUGAAAUAGGACGGAUUGAUUCUAUUUCGUUGGUUUCUAGGGUCACCGUAAUGAUUAAUAGGGAUAGUUGGGGGCAUUAGUAUUCAAUUGUCAGAGGUGAAAUUCUUGGAUCUAUUGAAGACUAACUACUGCGAAAGCAUUUGCCAAGGAUGUUUUCAUUAAUCAAGAACGAAAGUUAGGGGAUCGAAGACGAUCAGAUACCGUCGUAGUCUUAACCAUAAACUAUGCCGACUAGGGAUCGGGACGAAGUUAAUUUUAUAAUGAACGCGUUUCGGCU